rnacentral:rRNA from 1 species
GAUGAACGCUGGCGGCGUGCUUAACACAUGCAAGUCGAACAGAAAGGCCCAAGCUUGCUUGGGUACUCGAGUGGCGAACGGGUGAGUAACACGUGGGUGAUCUGCCCUGCACUUCGGGAUAAGCCUGGGAAACUGGGUCUAAUACUGGAUAGGACCACUUCUUGGAUGUUGUGGUGGAAAGUUUUUUCGGUGUGGGAUGAGCUCGCGGCCUAUCAGCUUGUUGGUGGGGUAAUGGCCUACCAAGGCGUCGACGGGUAGCCGGCCUGAGAGGGUGUACGGCCACAUUGGGACUGAGAUACGGCCCAGACUCCUACGGGAGGCAGCAGUGGGGAAUAUUGCACAAUGGGCGCAAGCCUGAUGCAGCGACGCCGCGUGGGGGAUGACGGCCUUCGGGUUGUAAACUCCUUUCGCUAGGGACGAAGCGUUUUGUGACGGUACCUGGAGAAGAAGCACCGGCUAACUACGUG